GCGGUUAAAACGCUCGUAGUUGGAUAUCUGUUCGGAAAACUCAGGUCCACCCAAGUGGUGUGUAUCUGAAUCAACCGUGACAAGAAACUCGCGAACAUGCAUGCACUUAAUUGUGCGGCGAGAUCUCGAGAACGCUUACUUUGAGGAAAUGAGAGUGCUCCAAGCAGGCUAUGGCCUUGCAUACGUUAGCAUGGAAUAAUAGGACAAGACGUUGUUCCGAAGUGGUUAGUUUUCGGUCCGAUGUAGUACUAAUAGAGGUAGUUGAGGGCAUUCGUAUUUAAUUGCUAGAGGUGAAAUUCUUGGAUUUUUUAAAGACGAGCUACUGCGAACGCAUCUGCCCAGGAUGUUCUUCUUGAUCAAGAACGAAAGUUAGGGGAUCGAAGACGAUCAGAUACCGUCCUAGUCUUAACCAUAAACCAUGCCGACUAGAAAUUGGGGUUGUCAGAGUCUUGACGUCUUCAGCAACUUAGGAGAAAUCAAAAGUCUUUGGGCUCCGGGGGGGAGUAUGGUCGCAAGACUGAAACUUAAAGGAAUUGACGGAAGGGCACCACCAGGAGUGGAGC
rnacentral:rRNA from 1 species